UCUCCGUAGGUGAACCUGCGGAGGGAUCAUUACUGAGUGAGGGCCCCCGGCCCGACCUCCAACCCUUUGUGUAUCUCGACCCUGUUGCCUCGGGGGCGACCCGGCCUUCGGGCGUCGGGGCCCCCGGCGGACCACUCAACUCUGCAUCUUUGCGUCUGAGUAUUGAAUUGAAUCAAUCAAAACUUUCAACAACGGAUCUCUUGGUUCUGGCAUCGAUGAAGAACGCAGC
rnacentral:misc_RNA from 1 species